rnacentral:rRNA from 1 species
AAACCUGCCGACGGCCCACGAAACUCUGUUUUUAUAGCAUUAGACUUCUGAAAAAGAUAACUAAAUCAGUUAAAACUUUCAACAACGGAUCUCUUGGUUCUGGCAUCGAUGAAGAACGCAGCGAAAUGCGAUAAGUAAUGUGAAUUGCAGAAUUCAGUGAAUCAUCGAAUCUUUGAACGCACAUUGCGCCCACCAGUAUUCUGGUGGGCAUGCCUGUUCGAGCGUCAUUUCAACCCUUAAGCCCUAGUCGCUUAGCGUUGGGAGCCUACCGGACCCCGUCCCGUAGCUCCCCAAAGUCAGUGGCGGAGCCGGCUUAACACUCCAGACGUAGUAGCUUUUACACAUCGCCUGUAGCCUAAGCCCGGCGCCCUGCCGUAAAACAACCCCCAAUGUAUAGGUUGACCUCGGAUCAGGUAGGAAUACCCGCUGAACUUAAGCAUAUCAAUAAGCGGAGGAAAAGAAACCAACAGGGAUUGCCCUAGUAACGGCGAGUGAAGCGGCAACAGCUCAAAUUUGAAAUCUGGCCCUCGGGUCCGAGUUGUAAUUUGCAGAGGAUGCUUUUGGCGCGGUGCCUUCCGAGUUCCCUGGAACGGGACGCCUUAGAGGGUGAGAGCCCCGUACGGUUGGACACCAAGCCUCUGUAAAGCUCCUUCGACGAGUCGAGUAGUUUGGGAAUGCUGCUCUAAAUGGGAGGUAAAUUUCUUCUAAAGCUAAAUAUUGGCCAGAGACCGAUAGCGCACAAGUAGAGUGAUCGAAAGAUGAAAAGCACUUUGAAAAGAGGGUUAAACAGCACGUGAAAUUGUUGAAAGGGAAGCGUUUGCGACCAGACCU